UCCCAGUGCCGACAGAUAUGUGAUACUUGG
rnacentral:piRNA from 1 species